UUUCUUCUCUAUCACACUAUAUCAUUUUAUGCUGGUAGUUUACCAUCUUGGUCAUUUUAUAUAUGCUGUUAUUUGUAAGCAUUUAUCUUGCUGUGGAUUGAGGGUUCGGGCUAGAAUUUAAUUUGGUGGCUUCUGACCUGUAACUUCUCCUGUUAUGUUUAACUUUGAAAUGCUUUCAAACAAUUUGGCUUGUGAGCUAUAAAUUAAUUGACAUUUUUCGUUCUGGGUCUGAUUACUGAGCCGGGAGGGAAAAUAAAGAAAGAAUCUCAGCACCGAUUAAGCUCAUUUUUACUACUGCUUCCGUUGGUACAGCCAGAGAGGAACUCAAACAUUGUCUCCCGAUCUAUUAUUUCAAGAUGGAAUUGAACUGCUAGGACAAUUUGAAUGAUUACGUUCAUCAUUCAAAUGGUAAAAUUCCAUUGCAAAAUGCAGAGCCUAAUUCUAGAAUGCUCUACUUAAUAUUUUCCAAUAAAUGUUGUAUUUGAAAUUUUAGAUUUGAUUAAAAAUAAGGAGUAACCACCACCCUCUUGUUAGAGUUUAAAUGUGAGGUGUGAGAAAGUGGUAAAAAAUUGUGGAAUAAAACUGUUGUGUGGAUAAAUGGUGCAUAAGAUCUUGUGAGGUGCUUGCUUUAGCAGUAUUAGGCUGCAAAUUUAUUGUAUUUGAUAACUUGUAUCAUUGAAUCAGCAUGUUCAAGCUAAUGCUCAUUACGAGCGAAUGUUCACUUCUCUCAUUUAAUGUGGGAUUAGGGUUUAAAAAUAGAAUGAAAUAUCUUUAGUUUUUCUAAGUGGUAAUUUGGGCUUGGGUGCAGGUGAGUUUGAGCGAGUAGCAGGACACACAUCAAAAGUAAAAGUGCACACAUAUGGCACAUAGUUUGUUAUUACUGGAUUCAACUAUUUGUUUUUGUGCAACUGGUGCUGAAAUUUGCAUAUUUUGUUAUGUAUAAAGGUACAGGUGAUUUGGGCGAGCGACCCAGUUUCACAACGGAGGGGAGGAG
rnacentral:misc_RNA from 1 species